UUCUGGCUCAGAACGACGCUGGGCGGCAGGCCUCAAACAUGCAAGUCUAGCGGGCGUAGCAAUACGUCAGCGGCGGACGGGUGCGUAACACGUGGGAACGUACCCUUUGGUUCGGAACAACUCAGGGAAACUUGAGCUAAUACCGGAUGUGCCCGAAAGGGGAAAGAUUUAUCGCCAAAGGAUCGGCCCGCGUUCGAUUAGCUAGUUGGUGAGGUAACGGCUCACCAAGGCGACGAUCGAUAGCUGGUCUGAGAGGACGAUCAGCCACACUGGGACUGAGACACGGCCCAGACUCCUACGGGAGGCAGCAGUUGGGAAUCUUGGACAAUGGAGGAAACUCUGAUCCAGCCAUGCCGCGUGAGUGAUGAAGGCCUUCGGGUUGUAAAACUCUUUCGACGGGGACGAUAAUGACGGUACCCGUAGAAGAAGCUCCGGCUAACUUCGUGCCAGCAGCCGCGGUAAUACGAAGGGGGCUAGCGUUGUUCGGAAUUACUGGGCGUAAAGCGCGCGCAGGCGGCCAUCCAAGUCAGGGGUGAAAGCCCGGAGCUCAACUCCGGAAUUGCCUUUGAAACUGUUUGGCUUGAGUACGGGAGAGGUGAGUGGAAUUCCCAGUGUAGAGGUGAAAUUCGUAGAUAUUGGGAAGAACACCGGUGGCGAAGGCGGCUCACUGGCCCGUUUCUGACGCUCAUGCGCGACAGCGUGGGGAUCAAACAGGAUUAGAUACCCUGGUAGUCCACGCCGUAAACGAUGGGUGCUAGCCGUUGGCGAGCUUGCUCGUCAGUGGCGCAGCUAACGCAUUAAGCAUCCCGCCUGGGGAGUACGGGCCGCAAGGU
rnacentral:rRNA from 1 species